rnacentral:misc_RNA from 1 species
ACCACGCCCCCAAACAUAUUGCUUUUACGUUUGUCCGUACAAAGAAGGCUCAGAAACAAUGGAUACUAUUGGCGACUCGUUCGACGACUCAGUCCCUCAGUCUGAGUCAACUCGACCCUUGGACGAAGACAACGGUGGCUACGUCGACUACAACUCGGAGCAAUUCGACUCUUUCUCUGUCGGAGAUGAAGUUUUCGAUUCGCA